ensembl:snoRNA
CCUCCUUUACUUGGCAGAGAGUGGGUCUGUGGUCCUGCUCCCUGUUAUGUAAUAUAUGGAGGAAGAGGGAAAGGGGCUCCAGCCCCCUUGGUGUCAUGCCUUCAGUGCCACCGGUUCUAUCCUCAAGCACUGGGACACAG